rnacentral:rRNA from 1 species
CCUACGGGAGGCAGCAGUGGGGAAUAUUGCACAAUGGGGGAAACCCUGAUGCAGCGACGCCGCGUGAGCGAAGAAGUAUUUCGGUAUGUAAAGCUCUAUCAGCAGGGAAGAAAAUGACGGUACCUGAGUAAGAAUCCCCGUCUAACUACGUGCCAGCAGCCGCGGGAAUACGUAGGGGGCAAGCGUUAUCCGGAUUUACUGGGUGUAAAGGGAGCGUAGACGGCUGUGCAAGUCCGGAGUGAAAGGCGGGGGCUCAACCCCCGGACGGCCUUUGAAACCGUCCGGCUGGGGUGCAGGAGAGGUACGCGGAAUUCGUGGUGUAGCGGUGAAAUGCAUAGAUA